AUGCUUUUCUAACUUGACUGUUUAUUCAUACCAGGUGCGUGCCUAUCCCAGGGAGACUGUCAUAUACCGGUGGCACGAAGGGCUCGGCAUCACUCCUGGUAUCAAGGUCCUGCCAUGGCCACAGCACAGCCCGAUCCCGAUCCGUGGCUGGCGUGGACCUGAGCUAGCUGCAGCCGCCACCCCUGUCGCUACCUGGGGCCACACAGUCUUCAGAGGCCGGUGGGGCCGGACCGCCCUGCAGUCCUGCCGCAUCGGAGCUGGAGGCAUCCUCUGCGUCUCCCUCUGGUCCUCCUGAGCGCACUCCCAGGACGCCUGCCUCCUCCUUGAGGUCCCGAAUCAAUGCUGGCAUUUGCUGCUGACUGCGCGCGGUUUCCAGUCUCUGCUGGGUGAGCUUGGCUGUCUCUCGGCAGGCGCCAGCCCUCGGAGCAUCCUGACUUUGUCACUUUCCACAUGAGCUCCCCACGCUGAACCACGCGCCACAGACGGCCUUUUGCACGGAGGGUGUCCCUGAGACAGCACGUGCCUGUCAGGUGUGCUGGCUCAACGCUCCUGUCUUUCAGUUUUCCGCAUUUUUUCUUUUCUUUUUACUUGUUUACUCAGGAGUGCAGAGACAAUGAAGACUGAUCAAGACCCUGCCCAGAAAGUCUUAACAGGCAAAGGGCAAAAGCGAAUGGCAGGGCUCCUCCAGAGCUGUGCAGGCACCCGGGCGGUGGGGCAGCCGGGCUGGGGACAAGCCCCGACCCAGGGCCUGGCCCUCCCAUUGCCCCAGAGCCUCAGAGCUCUGCGCAGCCAGCGUCUCCAGGCACCAGCCCUUCCUCAGGCCCUGCGCUCGGGAUCCCAGGGAGGUGCUGGCAGGGCCUGGGAGAAAGGCACAAAGGAACCCCCACGCCGCCCGGGCAGCUGACCGCGGGGAGCCUGGCCUCCUCCAUGCCGGAUCCACACUCAACACAUUGGCUAAUGUUUUUAGAACAACAUGAUGUGUUUAUAAAUAAUUUGAUUAUUAGAUGCAUUUUUUUGCCUAAAGAAGUUGUUCUCCUGCCACUGUGAUUUCUCAUCUCCUGAAGAGCAAAACCUGUAACCAACACAGGAACCACAGGUAGAAAAAAAUCUUCCCCUAAAUGCCGUUUAGAGCAAGCAGUUCCAUGGACGGGGUCCGUGGUGGCACAGUUGGGGGGUCCGAAGUCCUGGGCAGAAGCCUCAGGUCGUCUGGAGACUGCGAGAAAAGCGGCCCCGACACAGGGACCCCCGACCCCAGGAGGCUGCCAGGGACAGGCGUACAACCUCCACGAGGACAAGGCCCCACAGGGACACUGGCAUUUCUAGGAUGGAAACUGUCCCUACAGAGUGUCCGGGAGGGAAUGAAAAAUACACUGAGCUGGAACCCACUGCAAAGCCCUCACCAAGGGCCUAUCUGCACACAACAGACGACUGUUCCAGGAACAAAAGCCGUCAAAAUAUGCUGAUCUUCACUGGGUGUGCGAUCUCUAUGGCGGCCACACUAUGCGAGGAAGUCGUGAUGAAAGUGGCACACGGUCCGCAUCCUCUGGGCUGGAGGCACAGUCGCGGGCUCGCGAGUUCUCACCCCACAGCUGGGCCCUUCCUUCCGUCCGCUGACUCUUCGUGUUUUCAGGGAAGAAUUCUGUAAAUCCAUUUUCUCUCCCGUAGUGUAGGCUAACUUCUCAGUGUUGCCGGGCACUGGUGCUCCUGCAGAGGAGGGCCGUGCUGCCGUAGGUUCUGGUAACUUGAACCUUGAUGGUCCUUUUUCUCGCCUACUAAAUCUCAGAAGAAGAAAAAAUAAAUGAAUAAGUGGGGCUGCCCACGCAGAGGGCCGGGGAGAGUCAGCCUGUUUCCUCCCCACCCCUCAGCCCUGGGACAACUGACCCGGGACCAACACGCCCAAGAAGGUCCUUUGGAUUUGGAUUACAAAUUGCCUUCGUCUUAGAGAGGAGGAGAUGGGAUCUGUUCUAGAAGAAUGUUUCCCUGCUGCUAAGGACUAACAGGCCCGCCUCCGCCGCGCCCCUCAGGGUGGUCUACACAUGCUCGAGUGUGUAUUCAAUGGAGAAUUUCUGUUGCUUUGCCCACCAUCAACUGAAAAAGCUACAAAUGAAAACUCUAGAAGAUUCUCAGAGGAUGAAUCAAGUUUCCCAGUUGGUGCCAAAGCUGAAAAUAAGUAUCCCUCCUCCCCCCAAAUCAAGUUUUAAAUGAUCAGGAUUCCAGACAGGAAAAACAGCCACGCUGGGCCUCUGCUGGGACAGCUGCACACCUACUACUCACCGCCAGCCUGCCCGCCGCGGGGCAUGCAGAGACACACGCACGUGUGCGGUCAGCGUUUUGGUACUUUCCUGCUUUAAUUUUUCCACGCAGAUGUAUCACCAUCACCACCACCUACCAUCACUGCAACCCAAAACAAAACAAACAAAACACAAAACUUGAGCAACAAUUUACACCUGGUGAAAAUGUGUUUAAAUAAUUGAGAAUGGAAUUCCUUCUAGAUUUUUUAUUCCUAUGAUUGACUUGUAGCUUCAAAAAUCUGUGAGUCAUACUUUGGUCAUGGCGGUUACAAGAUAACACAUUUGCAAACUUUUUAUUUUAAAUGAAGUAUUUAAAAUAUUUUACAUAACAUUUUAGACACUGAUUUCUAGAAGUGAUGUUAUAAAAAUUAGAGAUUAUAUUUUGCCUGUUGAUGACAGUGAGUGAGAAGAGAGUUCUCCAAGAGUGUUAUUUUUGAUACAUUCAGUAUAACUACAACAUAAAACUUCUGCAUGCAUGUAGGCUUGAUAUACACACAUUACAUUUUGAUAUAUUUGUUUUGAGGGUUGUAUAGUUAGUAAGAAAUGAAUUGGCAAAAAUGUGACAUUAAGUCUACUUUCUUAAUAAAUUGGAAAUGUCUCAUGGAUAAUUUUGAAUAAAAUUAAAAAAUUGUUUUAUCAUAAAA